rnacentral:rRNA from 1 species
GACGAACCGUGCGAACGUUGUUCGGAAUCACUGGGCUUAAAGGGCGCGUAGGCGGUCUGCCAAGUCCGGGGUGAAAGCCCCCAGCUCAACUGGGGAAGUGCCUCGGAUACUGGCGGACUCGAGGGAGGCAGGGGUCGUGGGAACUUCCGGUGGAGCGGUGAAAUGCGUUGAUAUCGGAAGGAACGCCGGUGGCGAAAGCGCACGACUGGUCCUCUUCUGACGCUGUGGCGCGAAAGCCAGGGGAGCAAACGGG